AUUGAACGCUGGCGGCAGGUUUAACACAUGCAAGUCGAGCGGAGGUGAGGUGCUUGCACCUUAUCUUAGCGGCGGACGGGUGAGUAAUGCUUAGGAAUCUGCCUAUUAGUGGGGGACAACAUUCCGAAAGGAAUGCUAAUACCGCAUACGUCCUACGGGAGAAAGCAGGGGAUCUUCGGACCUUGCGCUAAUAGAUGAGCCUAAGUCGGAUUAGCUAGUUGGUGGGGUAAAGGCCUACCAAGGCGACGAUCUGUAGCGGGUCUGAGAGGAUGAUCCGCCACACUGGGACUGAGACACGGCCCAGACUCCUACGGGAGGCAGCAGUGGGGAAUAUUGGACAAUGGGGGGAACCCUGAUCCAGCCAUGCCGCGUGUGUGAAGAAGGCCUUAUGGUUGUAAAGCACUUUAAGCGAGGAGGAGGCUACUGAGACUAAUACUCUUGGAUAGUGGACGUUACUCGCAGAAUAAGCACCGGCUAACUCUGUGCCAGCAGCCGCGGUAA
rnacentral:rRNA from 1 species